GUAUCACAUAGCAUUUUUGCAUCAUCAGACAACAUAACAGCACCUUCUUGAUAGAAGUUCCUGAAAUAAAAGCCACAUGGAUCUAUUAAUGAGAGAUUUGAAGAUGGAGUGCCAAGCAGAAAAAAAAAUUUAUCUGAAAGCCCUAUAGAAGUCAAUCAUCAUUUCUACUCAGCUUUUUCACUUUCAUUAAUCAAAAAUAUGUCAUGAUAUAAAUGAUUAUGUAGAAUAAGAAUCUGAUCAUUCAACAACAGCUUUUGAAUUCAAAAAACCCAAUUAACAAAAGUAAAAGAAAUAUGAUUUAUACAUGCCAAAAGCUAAUGUUAAUUUAAAAUUCAGUAAAAGAAAAGA